rnacentral:rRNA from 1 species
UACGUAGGGAGCAAGCGUUGUUCGGAUUUACUGGGCGUAAAGGGCGCGUAGGCGGCGCGGUAAGUCACUUGUGAAAUCUCUGAGCUUAACUCAGAACGGCCAAGUGAUACUGCAGUGCUAGAGUGCAGAAAGGGCAAUCGGAAUUCUUGGUGUAGCGGUGAAAUGCGUAGAUAUCAAGAGGAACACCCGAGGCGAAGGCGGGUUGCUAGGCUGACACUGACGCUGAGUGCGCGAAAGCCAGGGGAGCAAACGGG